GCCUACAACAUAGUGUUAAUGAACCAAAUCCCAUUAGAACUUCACAGUUAAGCAUGCUCGAGCUAGAGUAGUAUUGGGAUGGGUGACCACCCGAGAAGUCCUAUUACUUUUUAUGCC
rfam:Picea glauca, whole genome shotgun sequence.